UGUCUAUUUUUCCAACAAGAUUAGCACUUUUACCUCCAGCAACUACUACAGCAUUAAAUGAUGAACUUACAGUUUUCAAAAGUAUAUUCAUUAAUUAUGAACAUCUUGACUACACUAAGUUAUCAGAGAAAAGGGAAGUGAUUUAGCUCUUGAUCACAGAGACCCAGAGCAUCAGUAAAUCAAGUGAUGACAAAAGCAAAGAACUCCAUAAUGACUCAGCUAUUCUCAAUCAGGCUGUGUUAAAACCACUCAGGUUGAGCAUGGGGAAGCUCAGCCGGUACAAGUGGUAGUCAGUGUUCCCCUGACAGUAUAAUUUUUAUGGUGUUUGUUUUAUCAAACAUAAAUGUGCAACUUGACUGCCACAAACUUCCAGAAAGAAAAAAAACACAAAGAUAUCAUCGCAGAACAUAAAAUAAGGUCUAUAUUCAGCUUCUCUGGAGAAGAGCAGAAAAAUCUACUGCUGUGAAGCAUGUCUUCUUAUGAAAAGAGUUCAGAAGGAAAAAUGUCUGAGCUUCUCUGGAGAAGAGCAGAAAAUCUGCUGCCGUGAAGUAUGUCCUCUUAUGAAAAGAGUUCAUGUAAGUAACAUGUUUUGGAGUCCCUUAACAGACAAACAAGCAAAUCAACAAAGACAAGAUGUGCACAGAAGAAUUUAGUGGUAUUGAUUGAAAUGACAUAUUUAAAUAUCAAAAUUUAAAUGGAAUAUAAAUGGAAUUAAGGGUUUCUAUGCAGACAUGGAGACAUAAAACUAGGUGAUUUACAUUUGGGAUUUCAGUAAUUUCUCACAACAUUUUUAUUUAAUGGCUAUUAUUAUUUCUGUUUUACAGAUUCAAACACUAACUUUAAAGAUUAUUAUGUGCAACCAACUUAACUGCUCUAUGGCAGAACUGGGAUUAAAAUUCAAGUUUGACAAUUUUCAAAAUCCUUCUCAAAAUUAGCUCAAUGUAACCUUUCCACAAUGUACACAUAUUUCAAAACAUUAUGUUGUGCAUGAUAAACCCAUACAAUUUUUAUUUGCCAGUUGUACAUAAAUAAUUGAUUAAUUAAACCAACCAACCAACACACACCCACACCAAAAACCUUCUUUGAAACUGUAAGCAUGGAAAAUACUGAAGUUUUCACCUGAAUGAAUUAAAAUCUCAAUUUAAAUAUGAUUGAAACCAAAUUAAAUUUGAACUUCUUGUAUUUAUUGAACUUCUGUUAAAUAAAUUGCACGUCCAAAAGGACACUUGUACUUUAUUAGCCUUUUCCAUCUUCCAGCUGGGGAUGUAUGGUAGUGGUAGUGGGAAGUGGGGAAAGGAAUAUAAUUGAGGAAUUAAGUAAAUAAUUCAAAAACCUUUAGAAUGUAAGUGCGAACUCUAUACCAGAAAGUAGAAUUUCACAUUUGCUUUCCAGUGCAUGAAAAGUCAAGGCUAUUGAUGGACAGUCUAUUUCUUAGACAAUGUGAAUUUCUAAAAAUUGACCAAACAAUGAGGUCUAUUUAUUUGAGGAAUAGGAUUCAUAUGCAACACGAGUUCAUACCUCAGACCUUGGAUAAGUUCAACUAAAGUGACACAGCUAUUUAAUCAAAAGAUGAGAGCACUCCAAUGACAACUUCUUAAAUUGAUCUGGAAUUUGAUUGCUGUGUAGGUAUAAUAUUAGCCAAACACAACUUUUGUUUCAUGUGUACUUUUGCAGCUAAGUAACAUAAGUUAUAUAAUCACCUUUAACAUUACUGCCAGAUAUUGUAUGAAUAUUUAAGAAUAACUGCAUUUUAACUUAAAUUAAAAGCCAUUUGUCUUUGAUUAACUAUACUUAUUCCAGAUUGUUAAACAAUGUGCUUGACAUUCACUUGAGAGUUUUGAGAAGGCACGUAGUUUUGUUGUGUUUGCUGGCAGUUCAAUCUUUGUGUAUACACACAUGCAUUUAACGACUGUAAAGAAGAGAUCACAAAUUCGUGAUGCGCAACUAGAACAUAAAUUAUUUUCAUUGCAAGCUAUAACUGCAACGACAAGAGAAGUUUUAUGAUACAUUUUUGUCACUAAUAUGAAUGUUAAAGAGUUGAGAAUUUACGUGUUAGGAGGCACGCUCAACUAGAUUGUGAAACAAUAGUUUCUAACAGCUCUGAAGGAGCUAUUAGAUUGUGUAAAAAAAUGUGUUCUAAAAAGUCCCUAAAUAUGUAUUUAUAUAAUUGGAGCUAUUAUGGUUUAUUGUAUCAAUUACUCAUGUACUAAAGAAGAAAGAACCAACAGCUUAAAACACUUUCAUUAAAGGGGUUGGCAGUUACACACAAGCAACCCAAUCUUGAGCCUUUGAAGAGGUUAAGACAAACAAUGUAAAUGUUCUUGUAAAAUUAUCUGUAAUAUCUCUAAACACAACUUCUACUUGGGAAUAAAAAUAGUGUGUAUUUGUAAUGAUGAUCAAAUAAGGAUUAUAGAAUUGUUACAGGAUGAAAAUCAUACCCCGUACAUUGUGUCAAGCUAUUUUAAAAUAAAAAGAAAUGAAAGUAGGGGAAGAAAAGCCUGAAUUUUUGUAGACACUACCAAGACUGGCUUUCUGAUUUUGUUUAAUUGACAUCUAUAUAUGAAGACACUAAUAAAUAGCCUUUGCUUCAGGUUUUGUUGUUGUUAUUGUUUUAUGCAUUUAAUCUAGAUUGGAGGAAAAGGAAUUCUAUACAGGAAAUGCUAAUUAACAAUACAGAACGAAAGCACAAGAAAUGUGAUGCAGCUUUAAUUGUCAAAUCUUAAAUACUACAGCUUCAGAGAAUGUGUAAAUAAAUUUGUGACAGAAUGUUUUUUGCAGUUUUCAUUCAUUGUCAUUUUCCAGGGGGUUUUGAUGUAAAGAGUUUUCAUUUGCAGAUAUAGAGGACAAAGAUAAUAGUAGGGCAGGAAAUAAUUUACAAACUAGCAGGCUGAAUUAUUAUAAUAAAUCUCACUUGGCUAAAGAUGAUAAUGAUGUGAUAAUAACUGUUUCUUUCCCUAUUAUUCUCUAUGGAGUGAACUUAGUAAAAAUAACUUGGUGGGCAUUUCAACAGACACAUUGGAAGUUUACUAUUUCCUUUGAGUUAGGUAGGGCUGAAUGGUUGAUAUACACUGGGGGAUUUUAACAUUAUACAUAACUUUGCAAGUGUAGAAAUGACCAAUAUAAGCUAAAAAUUUUAAAUUGUUCCACAAGAUAUUCUUGGGCAUUUUUAUCCCCUGGUAGAUUUUCAGACACUGAGGUUCCCCCUAAUGCAAUAUAAAAAUGUUAAAAUAAUACCUAGUUCACAAUUAAGAAUUGAGGUUUCUUAAUGUUCUAUGUAAAUAAUAACAUAAUCAAAACUACUUUUCAAACACCAUGUUUUUUGCUUUUAUUAAUUUUCCUAUCUAGCCCACUAAGUACUGCACUAAUCAACAUAUAUUAUUGGCCAAUUAGCAUGAACAUUAAAACUAGGAAUGUUGGCAUUUUAAUCCUAAGAAAUAAAUAACUCAAUAGGGGAAAUAUGUCACCUACCACCAUUCAGCUAAUUGAGUAAAGAAAAACUAUAUCUACAUAAUGCACAUAAAGUUAGUAUAAGUUUAGUUGGGCAUUUGUCUUGAUAGAUGUUAAAAUCCCUGUAGAAUUUACUUUGAUUAUUAAACUCAAAAAUUUUUUUUUUGUUUUACAAAAAUAUUUUUUACACUCCAGGAAUUUACUUUAAUGAUAAUAUUUACAUUUCUAUAUUUUUGAAUUUAAUAAAAUAAUUAUAAUAAGUACAAGUAAGUGUGUAUUGAAUACUGAUUAUGUACCAGUCAUUGUGCUAAAUACUUUAUAUGAAAUAACCCUUUUAGUAUCAAAAUAGCCCUAGGAAGAAGCUGGGGGAGCUCAUGAGGUUAGCAAGAAACCUUAAACAAAUAGCUGGGAAGUGACAAAGAAUUACAUUUAAUAAAAAGAAGUAUCAUUACUUUAAUUUUGUUAUUCUGCUUAUAUAUGUUGGUUCACUUUGCCAAGAAAUUCCCUCAAUCCCAUUCCCCUUUCAUACUGAUAAAUAAAAGCUGUCUAUAAUUCAAAGUUCAAUUUAUAUUUUCUCUAAGAAGCCUUUCUACAUCUCUUUACCUGAAGCAUCUCCAACAUUCCAAACUUCCAUAGUAGAAGGUAAACCUUCAUUGAGCACCCAUUAUACUCUACUCUUUUAUUAAAUUAUGCAUACAAGAAUUUAUUUAGCUUAAUUGUAUUGUGACUUUAUUUUUUAUUUUGUGGGUAUAUAAUGGGUAUAUAUGUAUGGGUUAUAUGAGACAUUUUGAUACAGGCAUGCAAUGUCUAAUAAUCAUAUGUGGGUAAAUGGGGUAUCUAUCACCACAAGCAUUUAUUCUUUGUGUUACAAACAACCCAGUUACACUCUUCUAGUUAUUUUUAAAUGUACAGCUAAAUUAUUUUUGAUUAUACUCACCCUGUUAUGUUAGCCAAUACCAGGUCUUAUUCUAUCCUAAUUAUAUUAUAAAUGACAGGAGGUCAGGAAUUAUGGUUCUGUUAUACUAGUGUCUUCUGCAGACUCCACUAAAAUAAGCAUUUGCUGAAUUUAUGCUGUAUUCCUCUAUUUAUAAAUACAGUAUACUUAGUUUAAUAAAAUUCAAAUUACAUUUUAUGAUAUCAUGUAAAGCAAUAAAAAUUCAUGCACUAUAGAAAAAUAUAAUUGUUCUACUUCUAAUAAGAUAGUUAAAUAGAAAAAUAAUACAAGAUACCAUAAUGACUAAUAAUGUCAAUUAAGGACCACAGUAAUAAAGGACCACAGUAAUAUAAAACAGGAUAACAAAAUUGAAAAAAAUUUACAUUGAUUAUUUUUGAUACUAUUGCAUCCUUUAGAAAAAGAUAGUCAACACUAACCCUUCAUAAAAUCUACUGCAAUAAUAAUUUAAAUAAUGGUUUUGAUUUUAUUUUGUGUCCAUAUUUCAUUAAUUAAAACAUUACUCGGCCGAGCAUGGUGGCUCAUGGCUGUAAUCCCAGGACGUUGGGAUCCAUCCACGAGGUGGAUGGAUCACCUGAGAUUAGGAGUUUAAGACAAGCCUGGCCUACAUGAUGAAACCCUGUCCCUACUAAAAAUACAAAAAAACAGCUGGGCAUGGGGGUGGGUGCCUGUAAUGCCAGCUACUGGAGAGGCUGAGGCAAGGAGAAUCGCUUGAACCCAGGAGGCAGAGGUUGCAGUGAGCCGAGAUCACACCAUUGCACUCCAGUCUGGGCAACAAGAGUGAAACUCCAUCUCAAUUUAAAAAAAAAAAUUACUCAAAGAGAAAAGCAUACGCGUUAGCAGAAAAUACUUUGAAAUUUCCCAGAAUGUAAGCUAUCUUUUUCAAAUUAAUGACGUAAAGUUAUAUAUGAGAAAAGGUCUUGGUGGGUAGGGGGGAUUGAGGUUUCAUAAAAUCAGUGAUUAAAAUAUUUUAAUAUAUUCUUUUUUAUAUUUAUUUAGAUAUCACCUACAUUUAAAGCAGUUAUUUGGUAAAUUCUGCUUUAUUUCUGAUAAUAGUAGACAGAGAUGAGAAGUAACAAUAAUGUUUUCAAAUACCUAAAUGCCACCUUUUUUUAAAAAAAAAAGCAAAUAGAAUUCUUGUGAACUUCCUUCUGACAUUUUUAACAAGUUUUUCUGUUCACAUAUUGUUUUUAUUAAAGCAUUUGCAUUUGCACUUUGUGAAAUAAAAUUUGAUACACCAGAAACCUGUUCCACCAUUAUCUCUUGAGACCUUGAGGUAAUAAAAAGUUCAUACUACAGCUCUUCAUCUUCUUUUACAACUACUGCAAAUAAAGGGCACCUAUCUGGGACACAAAAACCAAA
rnacentral:lncRNA from 1 species